AUAAUGUUGACUGGAGAUCUGUCUGCAUAAGUUCUAUUGUUGCGAGAGUCAGAUCACUUUCAGGAAAGUCUAAUCCAACGCCACAAGGAUCCAUGGGCUGGGAGAAGAAACUGUGGAGACUUCUCACCUGGAGCUUUGGGAGAAGCCAAUAAGGUAAUUCUUCGAAGUGUUGUAAUGGCUUCCAUCAGCUGCUUACAGUGCAUAAAAUUGAUGUAGAGAAGAAAACAGUUUAGUCAAGCAUAAGCUUGGGCUAAUGCCAGCAGUAAGGCGUGUGUCCUAAAG
ensembl:lncRNA